GCCUUCGAGGACCAGUGGUGGUCGUCCCGGUUCUAUGAGUACGGAGAGGUCCAGCGGGAAGGCGGGGUUCGACUUCCCGCGGAGGCA